UGGCGAACGGGUGAGUAAUACAUCGGAACGUGUCCGCUCGUGGGGGACAACCAGCCGAAAGGUUGGCUAAUACCGCAUGAGUUCUACGGAAGAAAGAGGGGGACCCGCAAGGGCCUCUCGCGAGCGUAGCGGCCGAUGACUGAUUAGCCGGUUGGUGAGGUAACGGCUCACCAAAGCAACGAUCAGUAGCUGGUCUGAGAGGACGACCAGCCACACUGGGACUGAGACACGGCCCAGACUCCUACGGAAGGCAGCAG
rnacentral:rRNA from 1 species